UUAUAACUUUAUUUGAAAAUAUCUUUACUUUGGCUUUCUUGCUGAAGGCUAAGUAUAGUUUAGCUGGGUAUAGAAUUCUAGCUGAUAGCUAUUUUUCUCUGAACACUUUGAAGAUACUAUUCUGUUAUGAACUGGAUUGUUUCUUCCUAAAAUUUAUAUGUUGAAGCCCUAGCUUCAGGGAGGUAAUUAAGUUUAGAUGAGGCCAUAACG
rnacentral:lncRNA from 10 species